UACGGGGGGGGCAAGCGUUGUUCGGAAUUACUGGGCGUAAAGGGUUCGUAGGUGGCCAACUAAGUCAGACGUGAAAUCCCUCGGCUCAACCGGGAACUGCGUCUGAUACUGGUUGGCUUGAGUGCAGGAGAGGAACGCGGAAUUCCAGGUGUAGCGGUGAAAUGCGUAGAUAUCUGGAGGAACACCGGUGGCGAAGGCGGCGUUCUGGACUGCAACUGACACUGAGGAACGAAAGCCAGGGAGCAAACGGG
rnacentral:rRNA from 1 species